rnacentral:rRNA from 1 species
ACUGGGCGUAAGCGCACGCAGGCGGUCUGUCAAGUCGGAUGUGAAAUCCCCGGGCUCAACCUGGGAACUGCAUUCGAAACUGGCAGGCUAGAGUCUUGCUUAGGGGGGUAGAAUUCCAGGUGUAGCGGUGAAAUGCGUAGAGAUCUGGAGGAAUACCGGUGGCGAAGGCGGCCCCCUGGACAAAGACUGACGCUCAGGUGCGAAAGCGUGGGGAGCAAACAGGAUUAGAUACCCUGGUAGUCCACGCCGUAAACGAUGUCGACUUGGAGGUUGUGCCCUUGAGGCGUGCCUUCCGGAGCUAACGCGUUAAGUCAACCGCCUGGGGAGUACGGACGCAAGGUUAAAACU